UGGGGAAUUUUGGACAAUGGGCGAAAGCCUGAUCCAGCAAUGCCGCGUGUGUGAAGAAGGCCUUCGGGUUGUAAAGCACUUUUGUCCGGAAAGAAAUCCUUGGCUCUAAUACAGUCGGGGGAUGACGGUACCGGAAGAAUAAGCACCGGCUAACUACGUGCCAGCAGCCGCGGUAAUACGUAGGGUGCAAGCGUUAAUCGGAAUUACUGGGCGUAAAGCGUGCGCAGGCGGUUUGCUAAGACCGAUGUGAAAUCCCCGGGCUCAACCUGGGAACUGCAUUGGUGACUGGCAGGCUAGAGUAUGGCAGAGGGGGGUAGAAUUCCACGUGUAGCAGUGAAAUGCGUAGAGAUGUGGAGGAAUACCGAUGGCGAAGGCAGCCCCCUGGGCCAAUACUGACGCCCAUGCACGAAAGCGUGGGGAGCAAACAGGAUUAGAUACCCUGGUAGUCCACGCCCUAAACGAUGUCAACUAGUUGUUGGGGAUUCAUUUCCUUAGUAACGUAGCUAACGCGUGAAGUUGACCGCCUGGGGAGUACGGUCGCAAGGUUAAAACUCAAAUGAAUUGACGGGGUCAUAGCUG
rnacentral:rRNA from 1 species